GCAGCACAGAGUCCAAGGCAGAGGCUCAAACCCAUGAAACUGUGGGAUCAUGACCUGAGUUAAAACCAGAGUCGGAAGCUCAACUGACCGAGCCACCCAGGCGGCCCUGCCUUCUCAUCUCUAAAAAGAGGAGGACGAUAUUACCUAUCCCACAGGGGUGUCACGAGGAGCAAACUAGCUGGCACAUGUAGCACACCGAGCACAGGGCCUGGCACGGAAAAACCACUGUAAGGCUUCUCCCCUGUGAUCUUGACAGAGGCCCCGGCCCGUCUCUGACACCACGUGACUUGUCACCCUGGGAGACUGCUUCUCUAGGUUAAACGUCGCCUGUUUGGGGCAUCAGCUGUCAGACCGGUCAGCAAUCUGGGAAAAGAGCAGAGCAGUGAGGUUGUCCAGCACAUGCUGCAGCCACUUUUCUCGUGGUGAUGAGUGGAGACAAAAGGCACAGGAAGCAGGCUUCAGGGCCACGGUGUGAUAAAGGCUGGGUCCUCCCUGUAACAAGACAUCCGGUGGUCCAUGCCAGCUGUCUGGGAUGCACAAUCUGUGGAUUUAAAUGAAGAGAAGAAAUCUGCCAGCACAAUGGCAAUUUUUGCCUUGAGCAGCAAAUACAUCUGGGGGGAAAAUCUACUAUAGUCCAUUAUCUCCUCUCUCAGAGUGCCAUUUGAAAUGUUACUGUCUUGUAAAGUGUAGACGUUUGCAUUUGGUGGCAGCUCCAGACACCGGGUUGUAUGGGAAAUGACUUUCUUUCCAACCGCACAUAUCCAGAACCUCAAUUUCGAUUUCCCCUUGGAGAGCUCUGGGUUUAUGGGGGAAGAUCACCAUUGAAGGGAAGCUAUCUUGUGGUAGCUGUCUAGUUCUAUGAUCCGGAUAAAGAGAAUAGGGAUCCGUCGCUCUGGUCACUGUGGAUCUUAUGGUCGUUUGCGGUCAGCCUACAUUUUGGUUGCAAAACCACUCUUAGCAGAGUCCUAAACUCAAGAUACUAUGGAUGCUUUUGAAGCCUGCGCCCCAGGGAUGCCCCAGUACCACCACCAAAAGCUCCUCAAGAUGUUGCCUCUUCUCUACUUUAAAAAAUUGAGGUGUAAUUUACAUGCAUGAAAAUGUCCAGAUCUUAAGGGUUAGUUCAAUGAAGCGUGAAAUUACGUACACACCACUGUCACCAUUACCCAAGACAACCUCCAGAACAUUUCCUUCACCCUCAAAAAGUUCUUUCUUGCCCCUUUCUAGUCAAUUCCCACCUUCCACCCUGCCUGCAAUCUACCCCAGAAGCAAUGAUUUUCUGAUUUUUAGUUACGAUAGAUGCUCUCCCAUUUUUUCUCCUAAAGUCUUUAUGGUUCUGGAUAUACACUUAAAUAUAGAAUCCAUGUGAAAUUAAAUUUUCUGUGUGGAUUUCAUUUACUGUUGGAUUUCUCUAUUGUUUGUCUCUUUUCUAUUUCAUCUGUUUAUUUAUUUAUUUGUUCCUUUUUGUUUGCCUUGGGUUCAAUUUACUCUUGAUUUUCAAGGUUCUUAAGGUCAGAGCUAGAUUAUUGACUUUAUCCCUUUUUUGUGUGUGACUAUUGUCACUUAAAGAAUAAAUUUCUCUGUAAGUACUUACUGUGCCAGCCACAUACAACAAUUUUGAUGUAUUAGAUUUCUAUCAUCAUUCAGGUAAAAAGAUUUUCUAAUUUAUCUAUGAUUUCCUCUUUAACACAUGAGUUGUUCUGAAGUAUGUUGUUUAAUUUCUAAAACUGGGUAUUUUCUAAAUAUCUUGUUUUUACUGACAUCUAAUUUAAUACUAUUGUGGUAUGAUUAUCACUCUUAGAUAUUUAUGGAAACUUGUUUUGAAGUCCAGCAUAUGGUCCUGGUGAAAACAGCACAUGCACUUGAAGAGAAUGUUUUCUUAAGUUGUUGGGAGAAAUGUGGGGUGCCUGGGUGGCUCAGUCGGUUAAGCGUCCAACCUCAGCUCCAACUUCGGCUCAGGUCACGACCUCACAGUUCGUGGGUUCGAGCCCCACACUGGGCUCUGUGCUGACAGCUCAG